AUACUGCGCGUCAUUAGUUUGGCACUUCCGGUUUAGUUCGGACACUUCCGGUUUACGUUGUUAGUUCAGGUGACAAACAAUGAGAAGUAGAAGAGUUGUGUGAACUCUUACAAUCCUUGGAAAAGAUAAGUCUACCUGCAGGGGGCAGAGUGACACAGCCACAUCACAAUCCACCAAACUUCCUGUCAGGCGGCAAGGACGGCCAUUUUGCCGACCGACCAGGAUGUGGUCUUGGAGAAGAAAGAAAGAAAAGACUGUUAUUAAGAGAAACAAAAGCUUCAACAAAGCAAGCAACUAGAAGAAGAACAAACCCAAAGAGACUUCUCAGUUCCUGGUCACAUAAAACUGACGCAGAUGGAGACUGGGGGCUCUUGACCUUUGACCUGCGUCACUAAAUCACAUCAGUCGUUGGCUUGAAGGAGGCCGCGGGCUUUCACUGAGCAGAUGGGCAGCUGUGCACAUGCUUUGAGUCAGAUUAUAUGGUCGUACCUGUACAACCUGAAAGUUGGAGGGGUGUGGUGAUCGCCAGUGUCUCCGAGGGAAGCCACGGCUCUCAACGAGGCGAAGGCAGCCGUUGGGGCCAGGCCGGCGGGAGGAGGCAAGAGAGUCCGCAGCUGCAGGAGGAACCACACAAGCUCUCCGCUCAUGUCUACGAAAGCGAAGCGGCUCUCAGCAGUAAGCAGCCUGUUGGACUUUAAAGAGCAGGAAGAGGAGGCUUUUCUCACCUAGACGCUGCAGAAGAUAAGCAGAGGCGCGCCUAGCGCCAUCACGGGGGAACAGGCAGGAAGCUGGCGAGUCUGCAAAAGAUGAUAACGUUUUUUUUUCUUACAUUUGUGUGUGAACUUGUGCAGACAAAUAAAAGGAUAUUACUGAUGACUAUCCUAAAAAACAAACAGGUUCCAGACUAAA